CCAACUGGCAUUUAAGUUAAGAUUACAGAGGAGCCCUUUAUCUGAGGCUUUGAAUAAGCCUCGUGUGUACUUCAAGUGGUGCUUAAGACACAAAGUCCUAACACUUUGGCCCCAUGUCGUGUGGACCAGAAAAAGAAGGUUUAAGGGUCUCACAAAGAAACGCUUCAUUGAGAACUCAAGCAAGGGCUGCUUUACAGAGGGAACCGGGCCCGCGUGUGGUUCCACAUGGCCAACCGCAGCAUCUGGAAGAUUACAGCACUUUCUUCAGAGUGUGGAGUGUCCUCUUCAGCCAGGGCUGCUCCACCUCCCACCUUUGGAGGUGAGUUAUGUCAAAACACUGCAUCGGUCGUGCAGGGCCCAAGGCAGCAGGAAGAGGCAGAAGGCUAGAAAUAGUUUCAGCUUGGACCACAUUAAGGGCCUUCCACACUGAGACCAUCUUCUUCACAAAAUCUGCUUCUCCCAGGACCGUUUUGAUUUUAUUUUUUUUCCUGGAGUUGCUGAACUCCAGAAACAUCCCCCGUACCAUUUCCUAUUGGAGCAAUAAACGUAUCUGUUGCCUACGUCA
rnacentral:lncRNA from 1 species